ACAAGCAGCGGAGCGUGUGGUUUAAUUCGAUGCAACACGAAAAACCUUACCAAGGUUUGACAUGUCGGAAGUAGUGAACCGAAGGGAACGACCUGUUAAGUCAGGAGCCGUCACAGGUGCUGCAUGGCUGUCGUCAGCUCGUGCCGUGAGGUGUAUGGUUAAGUCCUGCAACGAGCGCAACCCUCGUCGUAUGUUAUAUGUGUCAUACGAGACUGCCGGUAAAAGCCGGAGGAAGGUGAGGAUGAUGUCAAGUCAGCAUGACCUUUAUAUCCAGGGCUACACACACGCUACAAUGGUCUGUACAAUGGGUAGCCAAGCCGCGAGGCGGAGCCAAUCCUGAAAGCAGGCCUCAGUUCAGAUUGCAGUCUGCAACUCGACUGCAUGAAGCCGGAGUUGCUAGUAACCGCAGGUCAGCAAUACUGCGGUGAAUACGUUCCCGGGUCUU
rnacentral:rRNA from 1 species